rnacentral:tRNA from 1 species
GAGAGUAUAGCUCAGUGGUAGAGCGCAUGCUUAGCAUCCAUAAGGUCCUGGGUUCUAAUCCCUAGUACCUCCA